UACGUAGGGUGCAAGCGUUAAUCGGAAUUACUGGGCGUAAAGCGUGCGCAGGCGGUUCUAUAAGACAGAUGUGAAAUCCCCGGGCUUAACCUGGGAACUGCAUUUGUGACUGCAUGGCUGGAGUGCGGCAGAGGGGGAUGGAAUUCCGCGUGUAGCAGUGAAAUGCGUAGAUAUGCGGAGGAACACCGAUGGCGAAGGCAAUCCCCUGGGCCUGUACUGACGCUCAUGCACGAAAGCGUGGGGAGCAAACAGG
rnacentral:rRNA from 1 species